UUAGUCUUAUAAUUUAAGACUGGAAUGAAAGAAUUCACCAAAAGGAUUAUGUUUUAAUAAAUAAGAAUUGAAUCUAACUUUUUAGUAAAAAGGCUAAAAUUAAUCUUUUAGACAAGAAGACCCUAUAAAUCUUUACAUAAGAGAAAUUUAUUAUUUUGUAUUAUGUUUCACUGGGGCGGUGAGAAAAUUGACUUUUCUUGUUUUUAAAAACUAAAAGUUUUAAUAACCAGAAUUUUUGAAAUAAAAAUAAUGUUACUUUAGGGAUAACAGCGUUAUUUAUUUUGAGAGCUCUAAUUAACAAAUUAAGUUUGCGACCUCGAUGUUGGAUUAAAAUUUCUUUUCUAUGUAUAAGUAG
rnacentral:rRNA from 1 species